rnacentral:rRNA from 1 species
CCUACGGGUGGCAGCAGUGGGGGAUAUUGCACAAUGGGGGGAACCCUGAUGCAGCGACGCCGCGUGGGUGAAGAAGCGCCUCGGCGCGUAAAGCCCUGUCAGCAGGGAAGAAAAUGACGGUACCUGAAGAAGAAGCCCCGGCUAACUACGUGCCAGCAGCCGCGGUAAUACGUAGGGGGCAAGCGUUAUCCGGAUUUACUGGGUGUAAAGGGGGCGCAGACGGCGAGGCAAGCCAGGAGUGAAAGCCCGGGGCCCAACCCCGGGACUGCUUUUGGAACUGCGUGGCGGGAGUGCAGGAGGGGCAGGGGGAAUUCGGGGGGGAGAGGGGAAAGGCGUAGAUAUAAGGAGGAACACCGGGGGCGAGGGGGGCCUG